rnacentral:tRNA from 1 species
GGUGCGGUGGUCGAGUGGUAACACUCUGGUCUACCAUUCCAGAGGUCCAUUGUUCAAUGCCCCGCCG